rnacentral:tRNA from 1 species
GGGUGACUAGCUCAGUUGGUUAGAGCGCUUCCCUUACAAGGAAGAAGUCGGGGGUUCGAGUCCCUCGUCACCCA